UGAGGGAUAUUGCACAAUGGGGGAAACCCUGAUGCAGCGACGUCGCGUGAGGGAAGAAGGUUUUUGGAUUGUAAACCUCUGUCUUUGGAGAAGAUAAUGACGGUAUCCAAAGAGGAAGCUCCGGCUAACUACGUGCCAGCAGCCGCGGUAAUACGUAGGGGGCGAGCGUUGUCCGGAAUUACUGGGUAUAAAGGGAGCGUAGGCGGGUAUGUAAGUUGAAUGUGAAAUUUAUGGGCUUAACUCAUAAACUGCGUUCAAAACUGCAGAUCUUGAGUGAAGUAGAGGCAGGUGGAAUUCCUAGUGUAGCGGUGAAAUGCGUAGAUAUUAGGAGGAACACCAGUGGCGAAGGCGGCCUGCUGGGCUUUAACUGACGCUGAGGCUCGAAAGCAUGGGGAGCAAACAGG
rnacentral:rRNA from 2 species